rnacentral:rRNA from 1 species
AGUGAACGCUGGCGGUAGGCCUAACACAUGCAAGUCGAACGGCAGCACAGUAAGAGCUUGCUCUUACGGGUGGCGAGUGGCGGACGGGUGAGGAAUACAUCGGAAUCUACUUUUUCGUGGGGGAUAACGUAGGGAAACUUACGCUAAUACCGCAUACGACCUACGGGUGAAAGCAGGGGAUCUUCGGACCUUGCGCGAUUGAAUGAGCCGAUGUCGGAUUAGCUAGUUGGCGGGGUAAAGGCCCACCAAGGCGACGAUCCGUAGCUGGUCUGAGAGGAUGAUCAGCCACACUGGAGCUGAGACACGGUCCAGACUCCUACGGGAGGCAGCAGUGGGGAAUAUUGGACAAUGGGCGCAAGCCUGAUCCAGCCAUACCGAGUGGGUGAAGAAGGCCUUCGGGUUGUAAAGCCCUUUUGUUGGGAAAGAAAAGCAGCAGGUUAAUACCCCGCUGUUCUGACGGUACCCAAAGAAUAAGCACCGGCUAACUUCGUG